rnacentral:rRNA from 1 species
GAUGAACGCUGGCGGCGUGCCUAAUGCAUGCAAGUCGAGCGAACAGACGAGGAGCUUGCUCCUCUGACGUUAGCGGCGGACGGGUGAGUAACACGUGGAUAACCUACCUAUAAGACUGGGAUAACUUCGGGAAACCGGAGCUAAUACCGGAUAAUAUAUUGAACCGCAUGGUUCAAUAGUGAAAGACGGUUUUGCUGUCACCUAUAGAUGGAUCCGCGCCGCAUUAGCUAGUUGGUAAGGUAACGGCUUACCAAGGCAACGAUGCGUAGCCGACCUGAGAGGGUGAUCGGCCACACUGGAACUGAGACACGGUCCAGACUCCUACGGGAGGCAGCAGUAGGGAAUCUUCCGCAAUGGGCGAAAGCCUGACGGAGCAACGCCGCGUGAGUGAUGAAGGUCUUCGGAUCGUAAAACUCUGUUAUUAGGGAAGAACAAAUGUGUAAGUAACUAUGCACGUCUUGACGGUACCUAAUCAGAAAGCCACGGCUAACUACGUG